AUACACGCAAUGAACGGGAGCAGUAGACGGCCAAGGUGAACAGAGAGCUGCGGGUGGUGCGACGCAGUCACCGGAGGCCGGCGAAUCUCGCCCGUGAGCGGAGCGGCGGAAAGAGCUUCAGGUACGCCGUUACGGAUGUCCCCGUUACCGGACUGUUCGUAUCCCCCGAGCUUACCGUUACGGGAGCAGGGAGAUAUGAAGCGGAGCUGGACGCAGCUUGGGCAUGCCUGGACUGGAUUGAGAUCAGGAGCCUAUGCGUCAAAAAGAGUGGUACCGCGGAGGGGUGACCCGCCGUCUCUUUA
rnacentral:ncRNA from 1 species